UUCUUACUUAGGAGAUGCUUGUAAACAAGGCUUGCCCAACCUGUUGCUCUCCAAGGUGCUGCGAUGUGUAGUCUAACCCAGCUGGAAGGCAACAGGUGGAGGAUGGCUGAGGGCCCACAUGCCAUGAAAUCAGAAAAUUUUAAUGACCAUCUGCUAUUGAUAGCCUGACUUCCAAACCAGCUAAAUGGAACAACUAUCAGAUUCUGCUUCUGAGUGGCUAAAUUUUAUGUGCCUUGGAGAAUAUCAAAUCCAACUGUUCAGUGUGAAAUCUACAGCAAGCAGAUGUUCAGAGGAAAACUGCCGGGUGUUGUGCUUACAGAGUGGAUGUCAGACAUUGCUUCUUUGUCCCAGAACCCAACAUGAGUGCAACAUGAGGCUACAUUCAAUCCAUCUUGGGACUUCAGCAGUUUUGCUAUUUGCAGGCUCCAGCCAGUACUGAUCAAAAGGCUUCGUGGAGCUACUCUGUCUUCUUCUCCCAACAGAUUUUGAAUGGAAAGAUGAACGAUAUAUGAAAUGGGAAGGAAACCGGUGUGACAGCAGGGCUGGCCAUGCAUGAAGCAGGGAGAGGUUGCCACAUCAGGUAAGAGGUGCAGAGGGGCAGCACAUUGCAUCCCCCAUCUUUUCCCAGCUGGGGGGGGC